CCUCCACCAAAGCCAGUUGCAAAUUGUCCAUGCUUACCACAACAUUCCUUCAUAUAGCUCUUGCAACAACCCCCAUUUUCUCUCUUCUCCAGGCUCAUACAAGCAUGAAUGGUUGUUGCUUCACUGCAGUUCAUGCCCUGCUGAAUAUCAAUGCUAGUGUGGCUGUUGCAACAAUUCUUGUCAACAUGAUCGAAAUGGUGAGGCCUGUGAUUGAAACCUGAUUCAAUAGCGUUUUCUGAAGAAACAUCACAGAGGUUGGAGUGGCAAUGACCAUUUUUGGUCAUCUUUUGGACACCUAUGUCAGAAGAAUGGUUUGAAUGGUUAGAGGUACAAUGAUGAGUGAUUUGAUCACAAUGCCUAUGCUGAGAAUGUUCUUCCUUAUGCAGUCCAUCUCCUUCAAUGAAUUUUCCUUGCAUUUCUGCUGAACUUGUGCAUUUAUUUGUCGUGCCCAAGCUCAAAUUAUGAGAGCCUGAACAAGCAUGUUUGUGUGGAUUGUUAGCC
rnacentral:misc_RNA from 1 species